rnacentral:rRNA from 1 species
GACGAACGUUGGCGGCGUGCUUAAUACAUGCAAGUCAACUGAAGCAGUGGUAGCAAUAUCGCUGUGGAGGUGGCGCACGGGUGAGUAACACGUAGGUAAUCUGCCUUCAGGUCUGGCAUAACUCCGGGAAACCGGGGCUAAUAGCAGAUGAUGCAGCGGCUCGACAUCGAGACAGUUGUUAAAGCUAUGGCGCCUGAAGAUGAGCCUGCGUCUGAUUAGCUAGUUGGCGGGGUAACGGCCCACCAAGGCAACGAUCAGUAGCUGGGCUGAGAGGAUGAUCAGGCACACUGGAACUGAGACACGGUCCAGACUCCUACGGGAGGCAGCAGUAAGGAAUAUUGAUCAAUGGGAGAAAUCCUGAAGCAGCAACGCCGCGUGAGGGACGAAGGGCUUUUGCUUGUAAACCUCUGUAGUGAGAGAAAAAAAUCCCAAUCUUUGGGACAUGAUGGUAUCUCAAAAGUAAGCCCCGGCUAACUACGUG